rnacentral:rRNA from 1 species
GAUGAACGCUAGCGGCAGGCCUAACACAUGCAAGUCGAGGGGCAGCACGUAAAGAUGCAGCAAUGUGGCUUUUGGUGGCGACCGGCGGACGGGUGCGUAACGCGUAUGCAACCUACCUUUUACAGGGGGAUAACGGAUGGAAACGUCCACUAAUACCCCAUAAUAUCCGAAGAGGCAUCUCUUUGGGUUGAAAACUCCGGUGGUAAAAGAUGGGCAUGCGUUGUAUUAGGUAGUUGGUGAGGUAAUGGCUCACCAAGCCUACGAUACAUAGGGGGACUGAGAGGUUAGCCCCCCACACUGGUACUGAGACACGGACCAGACUCCUACGGGAGGCAGCAGUGAGGAAUAUUGGUCAAUGGGGGCAACCCUGAACCAGCCAUGCCGCGUGCAGGAAGACGGCUCUAUGAGUUGUAAACUGCUUUUGUACAGGGAUGAAUCGGGAUACGUGUAUUCCGUUGGAGGUACUGUACGAAUAAGGAUCGGCUAACUCCGUGCCAGCAGCCGCCGUAA